CAAAUUCAAACCAUAUCACCACUCACCUGGGUCAGAACUUCAUCUGCUACAGGUGCACUGGAGUUCAACACCUUCCAGCUUCCCCUUUCUUUCUGGAGUUCUGAGAAGACACUAAUCUUCCUAAAAAUUCGACUAACUGGCUGCUCACCUGGACCCUGACAUCCUAGCAUGGUUGUUAUAAGCCAAUGGAUAUACCCACAGUGAGGCAAGGGACAUCAAACAUGUAGUAACAUUGUACAGGGACUUCUGGAGGCCUGGCCAUCGGCACGAGCAUAGAGGAGAUGUCAGGCAGGUGCUGGGAACAGUGUAUCCUCGGCAGAUGUUCAAAGGGCUGACCACACUUGGCUAGCCUUGCUAUCCAAAAAGUGUGUCUAGUCUCAAGGCCAUGGCCACCUGGGAACGGUCAUGCAGCACAUGGUUCCCCACCCCCAAG
rnacentral:lncRNA from 1 species